CGAAAAAAAUUACACUUUGCUAACCGGCCUUUGAGAGAGCUUCCCCAUGGCUUCCAGAGCCCCCGCAAGACAGAUACAUGUUUGCUGGAACUCUUUCACACAUUCAAUCGAACAUAUGGUAUGCACACUCAAAAAUUAUGUUGAAUGCAUCGAAUAGGCUGCCAUGACACAUCUCAACUGUUUUAUGCAAGGAGGAGAAGGCCUUGGUUUUUACCUCAAACAACAACCAAAAACAAGUGGGUGGGGUACUCGAUCGAAACUUUUCCUCUAAUCUCUGUCCUUCCUGAAGACUCCCUUUCCUUCCUUUGGCUCAGAAAUGCAGUCUGGGAGUACCCUAAUUUGGCUCAUCGUAUAACCUAUCAAACCUCAACCAAAGUUCACUAAAUUGGGCACUCUAGAAUAUGCACUUUGCAGGAUACGACAUAUCCAAAAUGGGGGCAAAAAUUGAGUCAUUUUUAGUAGCCUAAAAUUGCCCUCAAAGUCCGCUCCUCACCUCGAUCGUCACUGUUCUCCAACACUUGGAAAAUUUCCAACCUGGAUGGAUAGUCGAUAGGUAAGUCAACUCUUGGUCGACUGUUGGAACUAACAAGUCAUACCCCUUCUCUGUUUAUUUGUCCAGCACAUACUACUAGGAUGGAACCCUGGGUGUUACAGUGUUUGUCACAGAUCAGACUAUUAUGUACAGAUUCUGGUGGGUUGAAGAAAAAAAGGGAAAGAAAAUUGCAUUAGAUUGCAUGGAAUAGGUUCUGCAAAACAAUGGAGCAAGGGGGUCUGUGGUUUAGGAGGAGGUUCAAUUCAAUGAUUUGGAAGCAAACUCCGACUAGUAGAUAAAUUCUGGAAAAAGGAGGUUGUAAAAGCUUGGAAGAAGGGGAAUUCUGUUAGAAUCUGGAGUGAUCCAUAGGCUUGUGGACUUGAGCAGUUCAAGCCUAUCAGAGAACUUGAAAGAGGCUUUUGACUUGAAUUUAGUGGCUAUAAUUAUUAAAGUUUAUAUCCCUAUGAUAGGAAAGAUUCUUGGAUGUGGGUUGAUGAUGCAGCCGUGUAGGAAAUGGCUAAGGGCUUUAAUACUAAGUCAUCUUUCUUCAUGCAACUAGAGCUUGAGAAAAUGCAGCAUGGCACCUUGAACGUAUAGGAAUGGUAAUAACUGUGGUCAGUUAAAAUGCAUGAGAGUUGAGGGUUUAAAGUUGAUGCCUUGGAGGGUGGUUUUCAAUCAAUUCCCACAACGCUAGAAUUGGUAGAGGUUCCAUUUGGAAGAUCUGAGCUGCAUUUUCUGUAAGCAAGGGUUGAAUCAUCACUGCAUGUUUUUGUAUACUUCCACAUGGCCAGGCUAUCUGGUUCGCAUCGUGAGGGAUGCAAAGAGAGAGAUGGCUAGUUGCAGAUAUACAUGGUUCUUUGAUUCUUAAUCCACAAAGAUUAUGCGGUGAUAAAAGUACACAUAAAGGAAGCAUCUCAAUACUUUUAGCAGCAUAUUUGAAAAGACUUGGAAAUGGAGGAACAGAAUGCAGCUGAGCGCAGACGAGGUGAACAUCUCGGAGCUGUUUGAAGAGGUCAAAAAUGGGUUGGGAAGAGCAUAAAUGGGCCGCAGAAAAAGGCAAAGAUAGGGCUCGAAAUAAGAAUCUAAACUUGAGUAAUAUGCAGUGGGCAAAGCCUGAUUUAGGAUACCUGAAGGUGAACUUCAUGCAACAUUCAGUAAAGGGAGUCUGUGUGCACGAGUAAUUGCUAGAAAUAAUGCAGGAGAGGAGAGGUAAUCCUAGCAAGGACCUAGAAUUCCAGGGCAGUAUUUGUCCUGGAAGCAGAUUUCACCUUUGAAGCCUGAGGUGAAGAAAUGAUUUAAGUUUUUUUCCUAAUCAGAUUCACUGGUUUUAGUUCAGGGUGUCGGGAAUGUUAACAGAGAACCUCACUGGACAGGUAAAGCUCCUACAAAGGAUUUGCAGCAACAACUUCUACGGGGAAAAAAGGGUGGUAUCUAAGCUUUGCUGCUAGGAAAAGGAACACAGCUCAUGCACCUGCUUCCAAGGGGUCAUGCAGAAGAAUUUCAGGUGCCCUGGAAGGCGAAAGUCCUGGAAGCUAGCAAAGAGGAGGAGCUUACAGGUGUGUACGGCCAGCAGUCCCUUCGUUUCAGCCAACAAAACCAACUGGGCAGUUCCCAUUUUCCAGCAUUGUUUCUCGCACAAGCAAGAUGCCAAGGAGAAAGGACACCACUUUGCAGCCUCUUGGCAUCUUCCACAGGUUCUUGAACUUCAUCAUGAAUAGCCUCAAGUGUGUGACCACGUCUUAUCAUGGAUCAAAUGAAGUGCCUAUUGAAGAUUCAACAACAAACACUGAUCAGGAUCGGAAGCCAGUUGGAGGCAAAAGUGUGCACCAAGAACAUUGGCAAAGGCCAAAGGACUAUGAAAGUUCUGAAAUUAUGGUUGAGUUCCGGCAUGGUAAUAGGUUAGAGCAAAUGAUUCCUAUCCAUACUCCAAACGAAGAUAGUCCUCAUACUAAACUGCACAAGGGUCUAGAAACAAUGAAUGGAAUCGAGGAGAAAGAGAAAAGCAAGGAAGACACAACUAUGAAAUUGGGAGCAGCAGUAGAGGGGCAAGAAAAGCAGCCCCAGAAAAGGCCUAUUAUGUCUAAUAUAAAUGAAAGAGCGGCUGCAUUCAUUCUUCAGAAAAGAGAAGCUCUGAGACGAACUACCAGCCUUGACUACUCCUAGACUCGGUCUACAUGGUGGAAAAGAGCUUCACAUUGAAAGGUGAUGCAACCAUUGACAAUAUUGGCAGGCUUAUUCUGAGCCUGCCUGCGUGGUAAUUCAUAAUCUCUAUAUAUCCCUUUACAUUUGCGAUUUGCCCAAAUGUUCAUAACAAAACUGUAAUAUUGUAGGGUUGUACCCAAUACAUAUAUAUGUGUGUUUGUUACC